rnacentral:rRNA from 1 species
UACGAAGGGGGCUAGCGUUGCUCGGAAUCACUGGGCGUAAAGGGUGCGUAGGCGGGUUUUUAAGUCAGGGGUGAAAUCCUGGAGCUCAACUCCAGAACUGCCUUUGAUACUGGCGACCUUGAGUCCGGGAGAGGUGAGUGGAACUGCGAGUGUAGAGGUGAAAUUCGUAGAUAUUCGCAAGAACACCAGUGGCGAAGGCGGCUCACUGGCCCGGUACUGACGCUGAGGUGCGAAAGUGUGGGGAGCAAACAGG